CCUGUGGCUUACAGAUGGGCUUGCGGCGCAUUAGCUAGUUGGUGGGGUAACGGCUCACCAAGGCGACGAUGCGUAGCCGACCUGAGAGGGUGAUCGGCCACACUGGGACUGAGACACGGCCCAGACUCCUACGGGAGGCAGCAGUAGGGAAUCUUCCGCAAUGGACGCAAGUCUGACGGAGCAACGCCGCGUGAGUGAUGAAGGUUUUCGGAUCGUAAAGCUCUGUUGCCAGGGAAGAACGUCGCGGAGAGUAACUGCUCUGCGAAUGACGGUACCUGAGAAGAAAGCCCCGGCUAACUACGUGCCAGCAGCCGCGGUAAUACGUAGGGGGCAAGCGUUGUCCGGAAUUAUUGGGCGUAAAGCGCGCGCAGGCGGCCGCUUAAGUCUGGUGUUUAAGCCCGGGGCUCAACCCCGGUUCGCACUGGAAACUGGGCGGCUUGAGUGCAGGAGAGGAAAGCGGAAUUCCACGUGUAGCGGUGAAAUGCGUAGAGAUGUGGAGGAACACCAGUGGCGAAGGCGGCUUUCUGGCCUGUAACUGACGCUGAGGCGCGAAAGCGUGGGGAGCAAACAGGAUUAGAUACCCUGGUAGUCCACGCCGUAAACGAUGAGUGCUAGGUGUUAGGGGUUUCGAUACCCUUGGUGCCGAAGUAAACACAAUAAGCACUCCGCCUGGGGAGUACGCUCGCAAGAGUGAAACUCAAGGAAUUGACGGGGACCCGCACAAGCAGUGGAGUAUGUGGUUUAAUUCGAAGCAACGCGAAGAACCUUACCAGGUCUUGACAUCCCUCUGAAUAUCCUAGAGAUAGGGUAGGCCUUCGGGACAGAGGAGACAGGUGGUGCAUGGUUGUCGUCAGCUCGCGUCGUGAGAUGUUGGGUUAAGUCCCGCAACGAGCGCAACCCUUGAACUUAGUUGCCAGCAUUAAGUUGGGCACUCUAAGUUGACUGCCGGUGACAAACCGGAGGAAGGUGGGGAUGACGUCAAAUCAUCAUGCCCCUUAUGACCUGGGCUACACACGUACUACAAUGGCCGGUACAACGGGAAGCGAAGUCGCGAGAUGGAGCCAAUCCUAAGAAAGCCGGUCUCAGUUCGGAUUGCAGGCUGCAACUCGCCUGCAUGAAGUCGGAAUUGCUAGUAAUCGCGGAUCAGCAUGCCGCGGUGAAUACGUUCCCGGGUCUUGUACACACCGCCCGUCACACCACGAGAGUUUACAACACCCGAAGUCGGUGGGGUAACCGCAAGGAGCCAGCCGCCGAAGGUGGGGUAGAUGAUUGGGGGUGAAGUCGUAACAG
rnacentral:rRNA from 1 species